rfam:Homo sapiens chromosome 1 unlocalized genomic contig, GRCh38 reference primary assembly.
CCUCGUGGCAGUGUUCUGGAAUCCUAUGUGAGAGACAAACAUUCAGACCCUCAUAACAGUUUUCCGGAAUCCUAUGUGAGGGA